GCUCUGCUCAGUGAGGAGCCUGCUUGAGAUUCUUUCUCCGUCUCCCUGCCCCUCCUGCUUGUGUUCUCUGUCUCUCUAAAAGAAAUAAAUAAAUCUUUUAAAGAUUUAUUUUAUUUUAUUUAUUUAUAUUUAUUUAUUCAUGAUAGAGAGAGAGAGAGACAGGCAGAGACACAGGCAGAGGGAAAAGCAGGCUCCAUGCCGGGAGCCCGACGCGGGACUCCAUUCCGGACUCCAGGAUCGCGCCCUGGGCCAAAGGCAGGUGCCAAACUGCUGAGCCACCCAGGGAUCCCCAGAAAUAAAUAAAUCUUAAAAAAAAGGUAGAGUACUGGUAUUUCACCUAGCUAAAUAGUUUAUUAAAACUGAGUUAUUAUGGCAGAUGUUUGCAUUUGUCCCAGAGCUGGUGUUAAAUCAGGUGCAGUGGUGACGUUAUUGUUAAUGCUGACAUUUUUUCCUUUUCUGGGCAGACUGCUCUUGAGUCUGGAUAUCUAUAAAAAUGGCAUAACUUUCCUUAGAAUCAGAACAUCUACCUAUGUCUGAUUACUUUCCUUAAUUCUUUACGUUUGGGUAGAAAUUUUUUCCCAUGGCUUUAUUUUAUUUAGAAAUCUAGAAUUCUGAGGUACAUUUAUAUGUGAGUGGACCUGUAGAUGUUUCUUGUUUCCAAGUCACCCCAUCUAGGAGGAAAUGAGAGACAAACUUUGCUGGAGCAUCAUUAUGUACAAUGCACUGUGCUGGGUGCCAUUCCUUCAUCCUCAAAAUGCCUGGGAUCCAGUUUCCCCUGGUGGAAAUGUGGCAGUACUCACCCUCGAAGAAAGCCUGAUGAGGAAUUUGAGAAUUCCUAAGACUGGAAAUGGGAUGAUUUGUUGACAUGGACAUUUAAGUCAACUUGGACGAUAGUCGUUUGGAAGACUAUAUGCCAGGUGCCAAACCUGUGAUUAAUAAGAGAAGAAUUAGAAUUGUGGAAACUCUGCUGGUGAGGACAGGAAGUGGUUGAUUCAAGUAAAUGGUGAGGCUUCAAAGAAUCAAUAACCAAAGCCAUCUUUCUGUAUUGAUAUAAAUUUAUAUCAUUCUUUUAAAGGGCUGUAUAGUAUUCUGUGGAUGCUGUACCAUAAUUACCUAGCCAGCUCUUACUGAGGGACACUUAGAUUAUUUCCUAUUUCUCAAAACUAUAAACAAAGUGUGAAUACAUCUUUUCAUAUUUGUGUAAUUAUUUCCUUGGAGUAAAGGUCUACAAGUAGAAUUGUCACCAAAGAGUAUAUAUAUCUUAUGUUUUAUUAUUUCUUGUCAGAUUACCCUCUGGAAAACAGGUACAUUUUGCAUGUCCACAGAAAAAGCAGGAAGUUCAUGUCUCUUCAAACCUUGUCAAUGUGUGAGUUUGAGAAAUUAAAAAAAAUCUUUGCCAAGCUGAUAGGUAAAAGUCAUCUCAAUACUGUUUUAAUUUUCCUCUUUUUAUAUUAGUGAAGUUGAACAUUUUUUUCAUAUACUUACUGACCAUUGGUAUUUUAAUUACCUGUUUAUGUCUUUUUGCCCAUUUUUUUCUAUAGGAGUUUAAAUUUUUCUUAAUUUGUACAAAUUCUUUUAAUAUUAUGGAUAGUAACCAUUUGCCU
rnacentral:lncRNA from 12 species